AGGCCGGUAGUUCAAUUGGCAGAGCACCGGUCUCCAAAACCGGUUGUUGGGGGUUCGAAUCCCUCCCGGCCUGCCA
rnacentral:tRNA from 1 species